CGGCGGGUGCGUCUGGCCCGAGAGGUUGUGUCGGCUGCGGUGCUGGUUUUGGACAGAAGGUGCCCGGGGAGGAGCUCGGCCUGUGCGAGCCCGGUUUUCCCCGUGGCUGAGUGCGCCGUGUGACGAGGCCGCGGUACGAGGUCUGCCGCCGGGAGGUCGGCCGGCGCGAGUCUGCUGCGGUGCGAGGUCGGCCGCGGUUCGAGGUCGGCCGCUGGGAAAAGGGCGUGGAGACCCUUACAGCCGUAACGAAUCAGUUUAAAUACAACUGUUCAGUCAACGGCGUGGUCUCGACGUGCGUGAGCAGCUGAGCUUGGAGUCGUAGACGCCCGGCGGCGCA